rnacentral:rRNA from 1 species
CAGUCGCCACGGUAAUACGAAGGGGGCUAGCGUUGCUCGGAACUACUGGGCGUAAAGGGCGCGUAGGCGGACAGUUAAGUCGGGGGUGAAAGCCCGGGGCUCAACCUCGGAAUUGCCUUCGAAACUGGCUGUCCUGAGUACGGGAGAGGUGAGUGGAACUCCGAGUGUAGAGGUGAAAUUCGUAGAUAUUCGGAAGAACACCAGUGGCGAAGGCGACUCACUGGCCCGUUACUGACGCUGAGGCGCGAAAGCGUGGGGAGCAAACAGGAUUAGAUACCCGUGUAGUCCCUGUCUCUUAUAC